CACACAAUUAGAACAAUAUAGAGAAGAUUAGCAUGGCCCCUGUGCAAGAAUGACACACAAAUUCAUGAAGUGUUCCAUUAAAAA
rnacentral:snRNA from 1 species